CCUACGGGAGGCAGCAGUGAGGAAUAUUGGUCAAUGGGCGAGAGCCUGAACCAGCCAAGUCGCGUGAAGGAGUACUGCCCUAUGGGUUGUAAACCUCUUUUGUCGGGGAGCAAAAGCCGGACGUGUCCGGCUGUGAGAGUACCCGAAGAAAAAGCAUCGGCUAACUUCGUGCCAGCAGCCGCGGUAAUACGGAGGAUGCGAGCGUUUCCCGGAUUUAUUGGGUUUAAAGGGUGCGCAGGCGGAUUUUUUAGUCAGCGGUAAAAUCGUUGGGCUCAACCCCAUCCAGCCGUUGAAACUGGGGAUCUAGAGUGUGCGAGAGGUAUGCGGAAUGCGUGGUGUAGCGGUGAAAUGCAUAGAUAUCACGCAGAACCCCGAUUGCGAAGGCAGCAUACCGGUGCACAACUGACGCUCAGGCACGAAAGCGUGGGUAUCGAACAGGAUUAGAUACCCCAGUAGUC
rnacentral:rRNA from 1 species